UUGCCAGCCGCCGCGGUAGUACGUAGGGUGCAAGCGUUGUCCGGAAUUAUUGGGCGUAAAGAGCUCGUAGGCGGUCUGUCGCGUCUGCUGUGAAAACUCGGGGCUUAACCCCGGGCCUGCAGUGGGUACGGGCAGACUAGAGUGCGGUAGGGGAGACUGGAAUUCCUGGUGUAGCGGUGAAAUGCGCAGAUAUCAGGAGGAACACCGGUGGCGAAGGCGGGUCUCUGGGCCGUAACUGACGCUGAGGAGCGAAAGCAUGGGGAGCGAACAGGAUUAGAUACCCCAGUAGUCC
rnacentral:rRNA from 1 species